rnacentral:rRNA from 1 species
GAUGAACGCUGGCGGCGUGCCUAAUACAUGCAAGUCGAGCGAACGGACGAGAAGCUUGCUUCUCUGAUGUUAGCGGCGGACGGGUGAGUAACACGUGGAUAACCUACCUAUAAGACUGGGAUAACUUCGGGAAACCGGAGCUAAUACCGGAUGAUAUUUUGAACCGCAUGGUUCAAAAGUGAAAGACGGUCUUGCUGUCACUUAUAGAUGGAUCCGCGCUGCAUUAGCUAGUUGGUAAGGUAACGGCUUACCAAGGCAACGAUGCAUAGCCGACCUGAGAGGGUGAUCGGCCACACGGGAACUGAGACACGGUCCAUACUCCUACGGGAGGCAGCAGUAGGGAAUCUUCCGCAAUGGGCGAAAGCCUGACGGAGCAACGCCGCGUGAGUGAUGAAGGUCUUCGGAUCGUAAAACUCUGUUAUGAGGGAAGAACAUAUGUGUAAGUAACUGUGCACAUCUUGACGGUACCUAAUCAGAAAGCCACGGCUAACUACGUG